AUGUUUGCUGGAUUGAAUGCAGCAAAUCCAUGCUCCAGCUAAUUUAAUAAAGGGCACACACCAAAUGCUUUCACAAGCAAUAUAGUGCUUUUAACAGAUCACACAGUUUUGCUUUUCUGGGCCAUGCAAAUACUGAAAGGCACUUUGCAUUGUGUCUUCAUCAAGAUUGGGUAUCAAGGUGGGCUUUGCUUAAAAAUUAGGAUCAAGAAGGUUGGUAUGCGGAGAUAAUAAUAAAGGCAUACGGAGAAAGCUUGCCUUGACC
rnacentral:lncRNA from 1 species